rnacentral:rRNA from 1 species
AGAACGAACGCUGGCGGCAGGCUUAACACAUGCAAGUCGAACGGUUGUAGCAAUACAGCAGUGGCAGACGGGUGAGUAACACGUGGGAACCUUCCUAGGGGUACGGAACAACUCAGGGAAACUUGAGCUAAUACCGUAUACGUCCGUAAGGAGAAAGAUUCAUCGCCCCUAGACGGGCCCGCGUAGGAUUAGGUAGUUGGUGAGGUAACGGCUCACCAAGCCUACGAUCCUUAGCUGAUCUGAGAGGAUGAUCAGCCACACUGGGACUGAGACACGGCCCAGACUCCUACGGGAGGCAGCAGUGGGGAAUCUUGGACAAUGGGCGCAAGCCUGAUCCAGCCAUGCCGCGUGAGUGAAGAAGGCCUUCGGGUUGUAAAGCUCUUUUACCAGGGACGAUAAGUGAACGGUACCUGGAGAAUAAGCCCCGGCAAACUUCGUGCCAGCAGCCGC